GACGAACGCUGGCGGCGUGCCUAAUACAUGCAAGUAGGACGCAGUUGCGAACGGGUGAGUAACGCGUAGGUAAAUGCCUCUUAGAGGGGGAUAACUAUUGGAAACGAUAGCUAAUACCGCAUACUAGUAGAUGGACCUGCGUUGUAUUAGCUAGUAGGUAGGGUAAUGGCCUACCUAGGGGACGAUACAUAACCGACCGGGGAGGGGGAUCCGCCAAACCGGGACUGAGACACGGCCCAGAAUCCUUCGGGAGGCAGCAGUAGGGAAUCUUCGGCCAUGGGGGGAACCCUGACCGCGCAACGCCGCGUGAGUGAAGAAGGUUUUCGGAUCGUAAAGCUCUGUUGUUAAGGAAGCGGUACUUAACCAGAAAGGGACGGCUAACUACGUGCCAGCAGCCGCGGUAAUUC
rnacentral:rRNA from 1 species